rnacentral:rRNA from 1 species
GGAUGAACGCUGGCGGCGUGCCUAAUACAUGCAAGUCGAGCGAACAGACGAGGAGCUUGCUCCUCUGACGUUAGCGGCGGACGGGUGAGUAACACGUGUAUAACCUACCUAUAAGACUGGGAUAACUUCGGGAAACCGGAGCUAAUACCGGAUAAUAUAUUGAACCGCAUGGUUCAAUAGUGAAAGACGGUUUUGCUGUCACUUAUAGAUGGAUCCGCGCCGCAUUAGCUAGUUGGUAAGGUAACGGCUUACCAAGGCAACGAUGCGUAGCCGACCUGAGAGGGUGAUCGGCCACACUGGAACUGAGACACGGUCCAGACUCCUACGGGAGGCAGCAGUAGGGAAUCUUCCGCAAUGGGCGAAAGCCUGACGGAGCAACGCCGCGUGAGUGAUGAAGGUCUUCGGAUCGUAAAACUCUGUUAUUAGGGAAGAACAAAUGUGUAAGUAACUAUGCACGUCUUGACGGUACCUAAUCAGAAAGCCACGGCUAACUACGUG